UAUUACUUCUAUAUAAUACUUAUUUGAUAUUUUGUUCUGUUAGUUCAACUGAAUGUAAUAAAACUAAAAUUGUGUCUGGUUUACAGAAAUCCAAUUACUCUCAAACUUUAUUAUUUAUUUCAUUUUGAAAGUACCUUCUCUUUCCUCCUAGCACCCAGAUUUUCAACUAUAUGGAUCCACAUAGCUGUAGCCUUAUGCUAUCAUGGUUCACAAAUAUAGUACUUUCUAUAGGUCUAUGCUGCUUGUGAGGAGUAUCAUAUAUAUUAAAUAAACAGUUUUCACUAAUGAAUACAUCAAUUUACAUACCUGCUCAAGUUCAUGAGAAUUUGUUUCAUGUCCUCAUCAAUAUUUUUUUGUAUCUGAUGUUAUUUUCUAUUUCUCUAAUUUGUUUCAAUGUUGAGAGGUUUAGAAUUUGAACAUUUCUUCCACAAAAAGUGGUUAUUAAAGUCUCUUACCUCAUUUUUAAGAAAAAAAUAAAUAAAAAGCAGAAUCAUUUAAAAAUACCUAACAGUGUUUCUAGGUAGAGAAUUAUGGAUUUUUUUUUUUAAUUGGAGAGAUUCCAAGAUAAAAAAGAUACUCUUUUGUAUCAGGUGACUAUCACCUCUAGAGGUAAGCAGCUGGAGCUUACAAUCCCUUCUAUUAAACUCAGGAGUGCUCUACUGCUGAGUUACAUGCCUAGCCCUUUAAUUUUUUUCAGACAGCAUCUCUAUUUGCCAAGGUUGGCCUCAAAUUGUGUUCCUCCUGCUUCAGUCUCUCAAGUUGUUGGGAUAACAGGCAAGCAGCACCAUGCCAAGUCCCAUGGCUACCCAUUCAAAAUUGCAUAUUGGCCAAAUGCAAGGAAGUACAUUUGUAUCUGUGACUAGAUCUGGAUAGUAAAGAAAAUAAAUUGUUUAAGGUUGAGAGGCAAAAAAGCUUCAAGCUUAAGGAAAAAACCCCAAAUCUUAUUCUAAAUAACAGAUUCUAUUCCACAACUAUUUUCUAGUAUAUUUUUUAUAUUAUUUUUAGCCAAAGAGAAAAAAAUAUUUCCCCUUUGAUAUUGUAUUCUCUUUUUCCUUUUUAAACCUUUAAUACUAAAAUCCUUAAUAAUUUAUGGGACAACAAUGUGAAGAAAUAUUAUAUAUGUAAUAAAAUAGUACAAAAAUACUAAAUAAAUCAUGCACAAAAUGUUUAAUAAAACAUCAUGUAAAAAUGCAUGAUGUAGCUGGGUACAAUGGUGCACACCUGUAAUCCCAGUGUCCCAGGAGGCUGAGGAAGGAGGAUAGUAAGUUUGAGGCCAGCUUAGGCAAUUUAGUCAGGCCCUGUCUCAAAAUAAAAAAUAAAAAGGAGGGGGCAUGUAGCUCAGUGGUAGAAUAUCCCUGGGUUCAACCUCCAGUACUUUUUUUUGUUAAACAACAAACAAACAAACAAAAACAAAAACAAAAACACAAACCAAAACAAUGGAUCAUGAAAAAUAGCAAGGGUAAUUUAAUUGCAACAAUUAGAAAAAUAAGGAUACAAAUGAGUACAAACUAAAGAAAAUAUGAAAAAAAUAUCAAAAUAGUUGUAUAUGUUGGUUCUAGAGGUUGAGUAUCUCUUAUCCAACAUGUUUUGGAUCAGAAAUGUUUCUAAAUUUGUAUUUUUUAUAAUUUUGGACUAUUUGCACAUACAUAAUGACCUAUCUUGGAGAUGAGUCCCAAGUAUGAAUUAAAAAAACUCUGAUGUUUUAUAUAUACUUUGUACACAUAGCUUGAGGUAAUUUUAUACACUAUUUUUAGUGUAUCUACAUUAGGUCAGUUGUGAAUUGUCUACUUGCUGUGGUGUUCAGAAAGUUUCAGAUUUGGGGGAUUUCAGAUUAGGGAUUCUCAAUUUGUAUUAAAAUGGUGGGAUAAUUAGGUAUGUUUCAUCUAUGACAUAUAAUAGUCAUCAGAAAUAAAAUCCUUUAUAAUUAUACUUAAGUUUAUUGAAAAUGUUUCCAAAUAUCUAGAAUGUCACAACAAAGAUUUUAAUUUUCACUUUCAAAAAGUAAACAACAGGGCUGGGGCUGUAGCUCAAUAGUAGAACACCUGCCUCGCACGUUUGAAGCACUGGGUUCAAUCCUCAGCACCACAUAAAAAUAAAUAAAGAAAGAUAUUGGGCCCAUAUAAAACUAAACAAAAAAAAUUUUAAAAAGUAAACAAAAAUAAAAACAGCAUUUCCUUCAUCAUUCUUUCCCUUAUAUACAUUUAUCGGUAUGUUAUUUAUACAUAAUACUGGGAUUUGUUGUUACAUUCUCCUACAUGUACAAAAUAUAACAAUAUAAUUUGGUCAGUUUUGUUCCCAAGCACCUCCCCCACCCCCUGCCCAUUUUACCCCUUACAGAAACUAAGUUCUUAGGUGUCCUCAGACUUAAAAACAGAAAUCACCACCUCUCCUACCCAUCAUCUGUAAUACAGGUAAUAUUAAUUUCAACAUCCAUAAAAGUCAUUUAAAAUUAGGUGUUGUUUUAAAUAGAUAGUAUAUUAUGACAUCAAAAAGAUGGUUACAAAUACAACUCAGAAGAAUGGGGAAAUCUACCCUCUUUUUUAAAAAAUAAUUUUUAGUUGUUGAUAGAUCUUUCUUUUAUUUAUUUAUAUGUGGUGCUGAGAAUCGAACCCUGUGCCUCACACAUACCAGGCAAGUGCAGUACCACUGAACUACAACCCCAGCCUGAAAUCUACCCUCUUAAUGCCAAAUGCAAAGAGAAGAAAAUUAUGCUAAGGGAUAGACUUGUAACUAGGUAAAUUAUCUACUGCGAUGUGAUCACUUCAAGAUUUAUAUAAAAGAAGAACAGAGGACAAGAAUUAACUUUUUUGUUGUUGUUAUAAAAGUAAUAAAUGACCAUUAUAUAAAACCUGGAAAAAUCAGAAGCAGAAAGGAGAAAACAAUCAUUAGGCAGAAAGCAGUGAACAAUGGUGUGAUCUUUCUACCUCUUUCUUUGAAUACUGCACAGUUGUAAUCACAUUUCACAAAUAAAUUUCAGCAUCCCCCUCCUCAAUGUUAUUAUGUAACUUUUUCUGUAGUACUGAGGAUUGAGUAUAGGGGCAUUCUACCACUGAGCUACAUACCUAGCCCUUUAUUAUUAUUAUUAUUUUAAAUUUUGAGGCAUUAUUUUGCUAUUUUGCUUCCUAAGUAGCCUCAGUUGGCCUUGAACUUGUGAUCCUCCUUCCUCAGCUUCCUGAGUCACUGGUAUUACAGGUAAGUGCUGCCAUAACUAGCUCAUCAGACUUUCUUUAUGUCAUCAUAUGAUAAAUAUAAUGAAUCAAUUAUCGUUUAUAAGGUUUCUACACUAACCCACAGAAACCCUUACAAAUGCAACGGGCAGAAGGACAGCUACUGGGAGAGAUGGCAUGAAAGACCCAUGGAAAGAGAGGGUUAUUAAGAAUCUUCUGGAGGGAAAUAGAGUGAGGAACCCAAAGGAGAAGUAGGGAAGAGGGAGGAAAAAGGGAAACAGAGACAGUAGUAGGGCAGGGGAUGGAAGGAAAGCAACAUGUGAGGGUCAAGAGAGUAGUAAGGGAAAGGGUAGGGUGAGGACUGUGGCCAGGCUGUUAAGGAACCAGGUCAGUAAUGGCAAAGAUGUGAAGGAAGCAAACAGUAUGCAAAUUGGAAAAAGCCAACGGAAAAAUUAGUUGAUUAGAAGUUUACUACUGGGCAGCCAAUCUCAGCAGAGAAGUGUAAACUAAAGUUGAAUACAAUUAAAGGGGGUGAGAACAGAAUGUAAACCCCUCACAUGGAGAGAGGCUGCUUCUUCAAGUAGUUUAGCAAGGUGAGUCUGGAGGCACAGUUAACUGUGUAACCUGAGUCUGAUUUCAACAUAUGCACUAUGGAGCUAUCAUUAAAAUAACAGCGAAGACUACUGAGUUACUUUUCCAUGCCAGGCACAUUGCUUAGGCAUGUUGCUGCUAUAGCUCAAUAAAGCAUCAUGGCUACCCUACAAAGUAGGUGCUAUUAUUAUUAUUAAAAGCUUAAAAUUGAAGAAACUGAGGUUGAAAUAUUAGUUUACUAAGAUGAUAAGCCCAGGAAUAGAGAAGCUGGGUUUGAGCUAACACCUGGAAAGCGUAUUCUUAGGUCACAAAAAAACUGACUUGUUUUUUGGUACAGCAAAGAGCCCCAAAGGGACAAUUUAAAGGGAAAUGCUCAUUUUUUUGGAGGAAAAUACUAAUUCUUUUUCUCUUUUUCAGUCCUGGAGAUGGAAUGCAGAUAAUCAUGCAGUCAUGCUUGAAAGUGCUCUACCACUGAAUUACACGCUAGUUCUUUUUUAUUUUGAGACAAGGUCUCACAAAGUUGCCCAGGGUAGCCUUGGACUUGUGAUCUUCCUGCCUGAGCCUCCCAAGUAGCAAGGAUUCCAGGUGUGUAUCACCACACUUGGCUGAUAUUAAUUCUCGAAGUGGUAGAAUGUAGGAGUCACUGCAGACUUAAGAAUGGCUAUGUUACCUUAAGAUACAAAUAAAGGGAGGAUGGGACAAUAGUAAGAAAAAAAGGAAGUAUUUUCUGAUUUUGAAAGUCAUGAAUGGCUAAUAUAGAUAACUCAGAAAAGUAGAAAGAAAAAAGUCAUCAUCAGGCAGAUGGCCAUAAAGAACAUGUAUUUCUCCUGUAACAUGCAAAAGCGAUUGCACUGGGCUUCAUGGAAUUUUGUACUUGAACAAACUCAGGAGAUUUGGGCAAACUGCCAAUACAGUCCAAACUUCUUAGCAGAAACUAGAAUGUUUUUCAGGGAACUGAGUAUCCUGAGGGAAUGGCUAGAUGUAAAAGGACAACUGAAAUUUGGAGGAGAGGAAAAAAAGAGUGUGCUUGGUUGCUCGACUUCCAAAGAACAAGGAUGGAACUGCACUUUUUGUGAAGACUGAGGCCUGAUCAUGCUGAUUUAGUAUUAAAAGAAAAAUCUGAGAGGCACCCAUAGGCUGCAUAACACUAUGUAACAAAGAGAAGAGUGAAGACUGUGGAUACAACAAGACUUGCUGUUGUCCUUCAUUCUUGCUGGAAGCCACCUGACCACUGCCAGGAAGAGGAAUGCAAAACAUUCCCAGGAGUGGCCCUGACGUCAGGGCCACAUUCCACCUCUCCACAGUCAGGGCUGUCGGGAAGCUCUGGCCUCCAGCAAAACCCCUAGAAGAGAUAGCAGCUGGGCCUGCACUAAAUCAUACUAAGAACUCCUUCAUAUUGUACUUUAAAAAUGGACAGUAUCUUGUGAAUGCAGUGGGAAGGUGGUGGGUGGACGGAUGGAGGGAAGACAAGAGAGAAAGCCAGAGAGGGAGAAAGAAUAGGAACAAAAAGAGCUGGCUUUCUAAGAGACAUUACUGUUAAUCUUCACAACUAUUUUUUGUUUGUUUGUUUUUGUGGGUGGAAAAAAGGGAAAAAUAAGUAAGUAGCAAUCUUCAGAUGUCCAUUUAUCUUAGGCAUCAGAGUGUAGACUGAUUGAGAUGAACAACAGAAGAGUUUGGGCUUCAAUCACCAGGCCUUCCUCUAGUAAACCACCUAGAAGCCCUGUCUCCAAACCCUUCUUGGGAGGAAGACAAAAAUCCCAUUCAGGGAUGCUUUAGAAACACUAAGAAAGCAGUUGGUUCAUUUUUAAUAAUGAGACAUACUGAACAUAGAAAAUUGCACAUAUGGUUGGCAUAUAACAUUUUGUCAAGAUUGUGAUUUAUAUUUCUUAGAUUAAUAAUGAAACUAUUAAGAAUCUUGUUCUAACUAUAUCACAAGGUUAUAAGAUAUUAAAGUACUCAGAUGUUAUUUGACUUCUCUGUUUGGUGGGUGUUGUAACAUGUUACUAGGUAAAGAUACCUGAAGUAUAUAACUGGAAAUUUCAUCACAGUUGUCAAAAUAUGCACCUGUAAAUGGCAUUCUCCUAGGCCCUAAAGGUAACCGAGUUUCUACCUUCUGCAUAGAACAAAUAUCAAAAGGCCUAGAUGCCAAAUCAUUCUGAAAAAAUACAGACUUAGGGAUAUUUAUAAUGUCUCCUGCAUACCCACCUCCUAGCUGUACCCCGUGUGGUCACAGACAGGAAAGUCAGCAUUGCAGAUGCUGCCUCAGGGCUUCCUGACUUUCAUGAGGGUCAGGAACAGUUGAGGCUACAGAGUAAGUAUCUGGAGGCAAAUAAUGCAUGAUGAACAUAAUAAGCAAGAGGACCAAAGUAAUGGUUUAAGUUAUAGGGAUAUUUGGUGAUAGACAGUUAAUGAGGGGGUUCCUAGAACCAGAAUAGCUGAGAAGCAUGGGAAACUCUGGUCUGAGCUGUCAGUCAAGUGACAGAGGCCUGAUGUGAUCCAGCAUGACUGUACCAACAGUCCCUCUUCUUGGCCUAGCUGAGUCAGUUGGAGGUCUACAGACUCUAACUAAAGGAGAGAGGUUGGGUCCUUUAAGGAAAGAGUAUUCAAUAAUCUCGUCAUGUAACUUAAAAUUGCCAUUCUGCCCUUUCCCAAUGGAUAUACAGCUACUUUGGAGGAGAAAUGGAAAUAACCAAAGCUCUCAGGAUUUGUUAGAUGUUGUACCUGAAUUGAUGCUAAUCCUCAAGGGAUACCUGGGCAUCCUGUCGGUUAAGUGGAAGGCUUCAUGAGUGUCAAACACAAAUGGAGUCUAUCUUAUGAUUACCUGUCUAGAACCUGAGUUUACACAUGGAAUACAUACUCACAAAUAGACAGAAUUUCCACAUUUGUGCCUGGACUCAUGUACAGUAGUCCUCCCUCAACUGUGGGGAUAUAUUUCAAAACUUCUAGUAUUGAACCCUAUCUGGCUUUUCCUAUAUUUAAAUAACCAUGAGAAAGUUUAAUUUAUAAAUUAGGCACAGUAAGAGAUUAAUAAUAAUGACUAAUAAAAGUUUAUGCUGUAAUAAAAAUUAUGUGAAU